CUCACUCCAUUUGAUUCCCCUUAAUUUUGGUCACAUUUUUUCUUUCGUACCGAUGAUUCAUCCAGAUUUAGUUCGAAUUAGGUUAUAAUUUGUUGCAAUCGGUAGCUGCAUCAUGAUUUUCCUUGUUUCAUUAUUCUUUAGUUUUCCCUGCCGUAUUCAUUUCAGUGGGUAUUGCACCUGACACUGUCGAUUUGCUGAAUGGAUUCUCAGCACAGAUUGGUCCACAGAUGCAUAUCAACCCGAGCAAGGUGGUGUUCGAGCAGCUUCCGAUUUGGUUGUCAAUCGGAUUGGCGACGACGGUCACCAGGGAUCCAAUCUCCUCCGCUAUAGCUUGGGGUUCCUUCCCUGGAGCGGCAGUUUAUCUCCGUCGCUUGUGGAUAGUCUGAGGACACAAGGAGCAUAUUCCGUUGGGUCUCCUCUCCAAGACUUCAGAUGCUCCUGGUGCUCCUUGAAAAGCUCGGCUUAAGGCAUGAGAGGUGAGCUCUUACCUAUUGCUGCUUGAUCAUUUUAUGAGUUCUUGUGUUUCCUUAGACAGAGGCAUGCUUAACCUGUUUAACUGAUUUACACUUUUGGUAGUAGUUUUAUAUUAAGUAAUUCUUUUCCCUGUUUAAAAAUUGAAUAAUAACUGGAUUUUUUGUUCUUUUGUGUGGCUAGUGAAGGAGUUUUUUAGUUUAGGUCUGUCACUGUAUUCUAAAUCUACUUCAUAGGGGCAUCUCCAGUGUUCAAAUCAAACUCAACUGAAAAGGUAGUGCCACGGAGGAUUUGUUCGAUUUCUACUGAAUCAAACAUAAUCACAGCAACGCGUUAGGGAUCCAUCAUAUAAUAAAAUACACCAUUUCUAUCUCACCAUCCUCAAGCUGUAGCCUUGAUGAGCACAUUGUACUAGCGCACUACUUUUUGCCCAUUAUUUAACUACCUCGGUUCGACUUGCCUUUAGCAUUUGAUGCAAGUAAUCUUUUGAUUCCGUUUGACCACUGCAGUGUCUAAAUCGAAUCAAAGUUCUGCUCUAUCCUGUCACGGUUCGAUUUCCAUGCACACUGGAGGUGCCCUAAUUCAUGCUUUGUAUGUCUUAUAUGGAGAAAGAAUAUGCAGAAAUGAAGCUCUUCCUUUGUGCUGAUCAUAGCUUUUUACUUAGUAUAUUCAGUCCUUUUCUUUGCCAUUAAAUUAUGAAAUCUCUGGUGCAUGUAUACCUUUGGACCUUGUUUGACCUAAAUAUUUACAUGUUCAUUGCAGCUGAUUAAUACUCGAUUGUUCAUGGAUACUAUUUAUGGGAUGAUGUUAAAGUUUUAAGGUUGCUCACUGUUACUUUGCUUAUGACACCUUGUAGGUUAGAUGGCAUCUAGUAAUCUCUGUUGCUUUAUUUUAGUUUUGAUGGCACUACUGUUAAUAUUGAGCCCCUCUAUACAGCGUCAGCAUGAUUGCAUAAAUGGAAUAAUCAUGGCUAAACUGAAAUGGCUCACCGAAUCUAAGAAUAAAGUAAACAAAAGAUCUGGAAAACUUAAACCAUUAGAUUGGAUUGGAGAAAUUUUUUUCUUAAAAAUACACAGGUGCAUUGCUGCUGCGAUUCGGAUGAAGGAUAUGGUUGGACAAUCAUGGAAAAGCAGGUUGAACUUAGAAAUGGCUGGAAGCACACCAGACUAAGAUCCAGCAGCGCAAUCUGAACUGCAGCGCUUUUUAGGUGCCAAAUAUAUUAAAAUGGCAAUGAGGCCAGUAUAUUAAAAUGUUUUUUUUGCAGAUGUGGUGGACACCACGAUCUCUAUUGACAGUGCCAUCUUUCAGCAGUACCCAUCAUCACCAUCAGGUGUUUAGGGAUAGUUCCCCUUGUUCAUCACUUGAUGGAUUUUGUGCAGAAAGCAUCAGUUGUACAGUAGAUAGAUUCUGAGUUUCAUGUAUGGAUGGUAUGUUUCGAGCCUAUGUGUAUAGAUUCUUAUAAAAAUAUAGUUCGGAGUGUCAGGUGAUGCCAUUUCGACUCCACCUGUGUUUAUGGUAUUUAUGAACCGGCUUAGAAAAAUGUGUGGUGUUUGUAAGAUAAUGAAAUUUUAGCAUCAACAUGUUUUGGUAUAUGAGAUUAGGAAACCAAAACAUUACUGUC